rnacentral:rRNA from 1 species
UACGUAGGGUGCAAGCGUUGUCCGGAAUUAUUGGGCGUAAAGAGCUCGUAGGCGGUUUGUCGCGUCGAAUGUGAAAAACCCGGGGCUCGAACCCCGGGCCUGCAUUCGAUACGGGCAGACUAGAGUUCGGUAGGGGAGUCUGGAAUUCCUGGUGUAGCGGUGAAAUGCGCAGAUAAUCAGGAGGAACACCGGUGGCGAAGGCAGGUCUCUGGGCAGUAACUGACGCUGAGGAGCGAAAGCGUGGGGAGCAAACAGG